UACGUAGGGAGCAAGCGUUAUCCGGAUUUAUUGGGUGUAAAGGGUGCGUAGACGGGAAGACAAGUUAGUUGUGAAAUCCCUCGGCUUAACUGAGGAACUGCAACUAAAACUAUCUUUCUUGAGUGCUGGAGAGGAAAGUGGAAUUCCUAGUGUAGCGGUGAAAUGCGUAGAUAUUAGGAGGAACACCAGUGGCGAAGGCGACUUACUGGACUGUAACUGACGCUGAGGCAUGAGAGCAUGGGGAGCAAACAGG
rnacentral:rRNA from 1 species